rnacentral:tRNA from 1 species
CGGUGAAUAGCGCAGUUUGGUAGCGCAUCUGGUUUGGGACCAGAGGGUCAGGGGUUCGAAUCCCUCUUUACCGACCA